UACGUAGGGUGCGAGCGUUGCCCGGAUUUAUUGGGCGUAAAGGGCGCGUAGGCGGUGAGAUGCGUCCGUUGUGAAAUCGCCCGGCUCAACUGGGCGGGGUCAGCGGAUACGGUCUCACUUGAGCAAGCUAGGGGGCAAUGGAAUUCCCGGUGUAGUGGUGGAAUGCGUAGAUAUCAGGAGGAACACCGGUGGCGAAGGCGGGACUCUGGGCCGAUACUGACGCUGAGGAGCGAAAGCGUGGGGAGCAAACAGG
rnacentral:rRNA from 1 species